UGGGAACCUUCCCUAUGGUUCGGAAUAGCUCAGGGAAACUUGGGGUAAUACCGGAUAAGCCCUUCGGGGAAAGAUUUAUCGCCAUUGGAUGGGCCCGCGUCGGAUUAGCUAGUUGGUGAGGUAACGGCUCACCAAGGCAACGAUCCGUAGCCGACCUGAGAGGGUGAUCGGCCACAUUGGAACUGAGACACGGUCCAGACUCCUACGGGAGGCAG
rnacentral:rRNA from 1 species